GACGAGUAGAGCGACGUCACGGACCAAGUGUCAAAAUAACUCCACAUCAUCGUAUAUCUGUCAAUAUCAGCACUGCUAUCGAAUAAUGAAAUUUGCGUGUCAUACACAUUUUGUAUUUUUUUAUAAUUUCAAUUAAAUAUCUGCAAGUUUAAA